rnacentral:rRNA from 1 species
AGUGAACGCUGGCGGCAGGCCUAACACAUGCAAGUCGAACGGCAGCACAGUAAGAGCUUGCUCUUACGGGUGGCGAGUGGCGGACGGGUGAGGAAUACAUCGGAAUCUACUUUUUCGUGGGGGAUAACGUAGGGAAAAUUACGCCAAUACCGCAUACGACCUACGGGUGAAAGCAGGGGAUCUUCGGACCUUGCGCGAUUGAAUGAGCCGAUGUCGGAUUAGCUAGUUGGCGGGGUAAAGGCCCACCAAGGCGACGAUCCGUAGCUGGUCUGAGAGGAUGAUCAGCCACACUGGAACUGAGACACGGUCCAGACUCCUACGGGAGGCAGCAGUGGGGAAUAUUGGACAAUGGGCGCAAGCCUGAUCCAGCCAUACCGCGUGUGUGAAGAAGGCCUUCGGGUUGUAAAGCCCUUUUGUUGGGAAAGAAAAGCAGCAGGUUAAUACCCCGCUGUUCUGACGGUACCCAAAGAAUAAGCACCGGCUAACUUCGUG